UACAGAGGGUGCGAGCGUUAAUCGGAAUUACUGGGCGUAAAGCGUGCGUAGACGGUUCUGUAAGUCGGAUGUGAAAUCCCCGGGCUCAACCUGGGAAUUGCAUUCGAGACUGCAAAGCUUGGGUGCGGAAGAGGGAAGCGGAAUUUCCGGUGUAGCGGUGAAAUGCGUAGAUAUCGGCAGGAACACCCAGGGGGAAACCAGCCGGCUGGGGACGUGCUGACGCUCAGGGGCGAAAGCGUGGGGAGCGAACCGG
rnacentral:rRNA from 1 species